ensembl:lncRNA
AUGCAGGGAGAUGAGACUGAGUUGUGGUGAUUUUCAGGAAGGGAAGCAGAGGCGAGGGUGCCUAAUUGCACGUUCCCAAGAGUGAUUGACGCUGCAUAUGUGCCCACAAACACUGUGGAAACGUGUUGUUAUGCCGCAGGCUCACAAAGAGUGAACUUAGUACACAUUAGUCACCAAAAAAAGAACGCGAUUGCUUUUUCAGUGUUUUGUUUCUAUGGAGUUAGAUGGAAACUGAGACUAUGUCCUUGAUGCUCUAUGAGCGCAAAGUAGCAGGGAAAUCACAAAUCAAGCAUCACUUCCCCAGACUGAAGGGAAGGCUUGCCCUGGAGAUGCAGGCAGUGCCUAGAUGAGAUGCACUUCACCCCAGACCUAUGUGGGAAGCAUUCAAUGAGCAGAACUUUAAAGUUCUAGAGGUUAGCACUGUGCACAGUGAAGUGUGCAUUGAAAUCUCAUUCAGCAACGCUACCCAUUCCAUCCUCAUCAAAGCUUCAAAGCAAGUCUCAUCAUGCGACCUUCCAAAACAGAUGUCAACAGAGAUCCAACGGACUGGCCAACACUCCCCAAACCAAAAUCAGUGCAAAGAAAAAGAAAUAAAUAGAUAUAGAAAACUGAUUUAAUUAAGACAUCAUUUUGAUGGAGGCUAAGCUAACAUAAACAAGCCAAGAGAGGCAAUAUGAAGAAUGAACUGCAUAUAAAACCUGGAGCUCGUUUGUAUGCCUGAGCUGCAUGACUGAAGCUGAACAGUGUAAGUGUCUUACAUUGAGUUACAAGUGUUUUUUUGCUGUGGUUUAACUUAAGAAAGGUAAAUAUAAAAGAGCUAUUUUUAAAAAUAAUGGGCGGAAUGAACUCUGGCAGCCUUGCUCCCAUGUUUUUAUCUCUCUUCGUUUCGGAGGGCUGUCCCUGGAUGUGAAGCUUCCUAUAUAUUCCCAGGCAUCUACACCGUGUACACAAGCAGAGAAGGUCCAAAAGGCACAGCAAGGUCUGUUGGCAAGGGAGACUUUGAGCAUAUUCUCUUGAAUUUAUAGAAAAAAUAUAAAUGGAAACCAUGCAAAGCUCCUUUUCCCCCCUCCCCCAGCUGAUGAAGACUCUGAAAAUCCAGUGGGAGGCAGGCUCUCUGAAAAGCAGUUACUCUUCAUGGUUUCAUUACUCUAUGGAGGAACAACUGGAAAUUUUUAGUAUUCCUAAAAUACUAAAAAUCACAUCAUUGCCCCCAAAGCAUACAAACAUCUAAACAAUAUGAAUGCGAAAAUGCCUUGAGGUCUGACUGAGGUGUUGAUCUACUAGAUAAAGAGGAAAAUUCUGUAAAAAUACUGAAAUUUCUCUGCUGUGUCUCACGACCUUUCCUAGAGCUUUGGCAGCCAAGACUCCUAGGAAUUACAAUGACACCCUAAAAGCUGAAAGUGAAAUAACUGGCAACCCAGAGGGCAUGGCAGUGCAGAGCAGACAUCUCUCACCUACCAGAUAACCAUGACCAAGAGAAGACAGUUUGCCAAAAUGCCAUAAGCUAUCAUAAAAUACACACGAACCAGGGUGGUGUGCUGGAGCUAAAACUUGCCUCUGUACUCAAGGGCUGUGAACCACUUUUUCCUUAUUCCAUUCCUUCACAAAACCAUUAAAGGAUUAACGUAAAGGUCACAAAGAAAUCUGUAUCUUUUUAAAGAGGGCUUUCCCCCCCCUCAUACAGCCUGUUGUGAAUAAUAAGAGACAUUUACAUCAAGCAUACAGUAGAAAUAAGGAAUAUUGCACAGCCCCAAGACUAUCAUCUUCUACAUCUCCCUAGAUGAACAACUGAGGAUUCAGAGCAUGCUGAAUUUCAUCCUGAAUUUGACCAAAAAUCAGCAUGGUGCCACUCUGACUCCAAAGCCCAGAUGUGCCAGUUCUCACCCCAAAUCCCACCCAAACACUCACCAAGGGUGGGCAAACAUGUGGCACCUCGGUGAGGUGUCGGUGCGGGCUGCAGCUGGCUGGAAAUGAUUUGUGGCAGCUUUGAUUGCACGCGGCUACCAUGCACUUAACCUAUUUCCGAAAUACUGAAAUUACUGCCAGGCGUGGGACCCAUUCCUUCAUACUCAAGGAUGGCUGUCGUAAAUAAUCCACUGUGUAAUGCCGUUCACUGGUUAGCAGCCGGGUGCCCUCGCACACCACAGAGCUGCUGGGAUGCACAAAGGCUUGGAAGGAACCUGAUGGCAUCCACUCAGGAUCAGCUCAGCAUCAUCUCUUGUGUUUCACUGGUUGGUUCAGUAUUUAUUUUGGGGCAAAUUUGUUGAACUUGAGUACAAAGAUGCAUCCCCCAUAUUAAUUUUUUCUUCCCCGUGUUAGCCAAAAUGUGGCUUUCUGAUCCCUUCCCUGUAGUUUUUGUCCUAUAUACUUUAUACUUGGUGCCUGAUGAACCUACACAUGAGGUCUUCCUCUUAACUCAGACUGGCAGAAGAAAGAAAUCUGGGCACCAGGAUUCACACCUACACAGCCAGUCCACACAGGGUCCAUCCACUGCAAACCUUGCCUUUAGCCUUUCAGUUUCUAAAGGGGUGCUAGGAGAAGGAAGGGGACUGAUGUUUUAGCAAUGUCUGUGUGAUAGAACAAGGGGGAAUGAUUUCAAACUAAAAGAGAGGAGAUUUAAGCUGGUUGUAAAUAAGAAGUUCUUUACAAUUAGGUUGGUGAGGCUCUGGCAUGGGUCGCCUAGAGAGAUGUUGGAUGUCCCAUCCCUGCAGACAGCCAAGGUCAGGCUGGACAGACCUCUGAACAAUGAUGGAGUGGUGGGUGUCCCUGUGCAGUGCAGGGCAGUUAACUAGAUGGCCUCCAAGGAUUCCAUCCAUCUCAAAUGACUCUAUGAUUCCAUUAAAUCAAUGCUGGUGCUGAUUACAGAGACUUUUGAGUUGUCCCUUUCUUUUUGAAUGAGGAAAAUCAAAGAAAAAUCAAAAGAAAAAUUAAAAUUAAGUUUUAAAAGGAAUAGGCAACUUGGUGAAAACAUUUGUCAAGGUUAGUACCAACAAACACUUUUUCCUUCUGAAAUGAUGUCUGAAAAUGAAAAUGAUGAUCUCAUCAGCUAGCUUCAUUCCUUUCAGACCCGUCCUCGGGUUCCCAAUGACUUUCAUAUUUUAGAUAUAAGGUAAUUUGAUAAGUUAAAAAAUGUAACCUCCCAUUUUCCCCACCCUUUCUUGAGUCCCUGUCUCCCAUGCACAGAACUGCCUUUCACCUCUCAGCUGUGUAUUCCUGUUUAACAGAGCCUGGUGGGCACUGCACAGGCUGAAGCAUGGAGCCUGCUGCAGCUUGGUCAGGUAGUGGGGCUUUCAUGCAGAGAACGAACUUUUCCCCCAUUAAACAGCAAAACCAAGGCUGCAGUAAAACUAGCAGCAACUUAUUUUAUGAAGUGUGAACCAAUAAACCAGGGCGUUUAGACUGUGCA